rnacentral:rRNA from 1 species
AGAGUUUGAUCCUGGCUCAGGACGAACGCUGGCGGCGUGCCUAAUGCAUGCAAGUCGCACGCGCGGAGCUUGCUCCGUGAGUGGCGCACGGCUGAGGACCACGUGGGAACAUGCCUCCUUGUGGGGGACAACACCGCGAAAGCGGUGCUAAUCCCGCAUACGCUCGGCAACGAGGAAAGCGGUAACGCGCAGGGAGAGUGGCCCGCGGCCCAUCAGGUCGUAGGUGGGGUAACGGCCUACCUAGCCGAUGACGCGUAGCUGGUCUGAGAGGAUGAUCAGCCACACUGGGACUGAGACACGGCCCAGACUCCUACGGGAGGCAGCAGUGGGGAAUAUUGGACAAUGGGCGCAAGCCUGAUCCAGCCACGCCGCGUGAGUGAUGAAGGCCUUCGGGUCGUAAAGCUCUGUGGGGAGGGACGAACCGCCGGAUGUUCAUAGCAUCCGGCAUGACGGUACCUCCUUAGCAAGCACCGGCUAACUUCGUGCCAGCAGCCGCGGUAAUAC